AGCUCCACUAGCGUACACUAACGUUGUUGCAGUUAAAAAGCUCGUAGUUGGAUUUCUGAGAUUGCGGGACGGUCCACCCCAUUGUGGGAGGUACCUGACAGGUAGUCUCAUCUGGCAGAACACCUGCGCUGCACUUGAGUGUGUGGUGCAGGCACGUCUGCCCAUUUACUUUGAGAAAAACAGAGUGUUCAAGGCAAGCGUAUCGCGUUUGUAUGAGUUAGCAUGGGAUAAUACAAGAGGACUUUGGUCUUCUUUUGUUGGUUGUUCGAGGACCGAAGUAAUGAUUGAUAGGGAUGGUUGGGGGCCUCGGUAUUCUAGAGCGAGCGGUGAAAUGCUUGGACCUCUGGAAGACCAGCUGCUGCGAAGGCGUUGGCCAAGGACAUACCCUUUAAUCAAGAAC
rnacentral:rRNA from 1 species